CGUGUUUAACCAGCAUAUGACCCUCUAGGCGCAUUCAACUGGAAAGAGAAUAUUGGAGCUGAGAAGAGAGAAACAAGAAGUCGUCUGCUAUGUCCAAGUAGAAUUCAGACAUGUUUUGGAAUACCUGGUGAACAAAGCAAAACAACCAAAAGGCAAAUGUAAAAACUAAUCCUAUGAGAAGAAGGAGAUAAUCAUGAUGCCCCACACCUAGUAAGAAAAUCUUAGUGUCAAAAGAGUGGCAAUGCUAAAUACUGGGGAUUUUCUGUCAACUGGGUUUGCGUUCUAACACAGACAAUCCUCAAUGACUUUAUGCCUCAUAUCCUUUUGAGUGUGAAGAAACUAUGAAAAAAAAAAAAAACUAAAACAACUGUUUCAUUAAAAUAUUGGCUAAAAGAAAAAAAAAAACCUGCACUACUUUUGAACCUUUCUAACAGAGUAUAACACGAAGAAAGACAUCAUCAUCCUCCCCCUACUUUAUCCCAGCUAAUCCGGCAGCUUUAGCUGUGAAAGAGAACAUUGGUGGAAAUGCCCAGCAGAGAGCACCAUAUGGCAAGAGACUGAAGUGCCUGGUGGAACAGCAGCUGUACUCAAUGGAAAGAGACUUAUUCGGGAGCAUAGCUGAGACAGCCCCCAGGGAUGUCUAGAAAUACAUGGGUAGAAGAACUUUGCAAAAGGCUAUAUGUCCUCUACAUUGAUAGUUACAGACAAAAAAAAAUGGGUCAGUGGCAAUUCCAAAGACUGCUGUGCCAAACAGAACUUAAGGAAGAGAGAGAACCUAGCCAAACAACACUUUCUCUUGCUAAAGAGAAACAGAAGAAAAUAAAGCCUUCAGCUACUGAGCUUUGCCACGCUAUCUCUAGUUCUCUCAAAUACAAGAUGAGGAUUUCAAAAAAUAUCACAAUUCCGUUUGUAUUAAACUUUGCUGAAUCUUCUUGAAUAUUAUGAACUAUGUCUUUAACUGAUACAGAAAACUACGUUUUUAUAUGUUUUUAAAUUACAUCUAGAUUUUUAUUCCAAUAAAUAAAUAAUAAGUUGUAUUGAUUCAAUACUUAUUAAAUUAGGCCAUCAAAUAAAUUAGGUCAUCAAAUAAAUGUCUUCUUCUUCUUCCUUAUUUCUAUAAAUAAUAAUUUAGCCAGGAAGUAAUCAAGUUUUAUAUGUCUAAGUAAUGCUUAUUCAUGUGGGGAAAGGAUUUUAUACAUGCAGGGAAGCUUGGAGGCAUCAUUGUGGCCUUCUAAUAGAUGACACAUUAUUCUGAAACAAAAAAAAAAUAGCUUAAAGCAAGAAUUACAUUUUGAGAUGUAAGUUAUGAGUGAUUAGGGAAUUAUUAAGCUAAAGCCAAGAAUCUAUGACUAAUUGUGAAGAAUACUUAUUCCAAUAUGUUAGACCAUAGUUAUUUUUCUCAGGAUAUUUUAGGUAAGGAAACUGAGCACAAAGAUUAAGUAACUUGGCCAAGGACUAAUAACUAUUAAGUGGUAGAGUCAGGACACAUAACCAGGAAGUCUGGCUCCAUUACACUUCUUUGCAUAACUUGUCCGUCACCUUGGGGAGAAUAUCCUAAUAUCAAAUCAUAAGACCAUUUCACUGGAGUUUUUACAGAAUUGAACCUAUUGUUCACAUAAGAAUAUCUUACUCAAAUAUUUAAGAUACUUAAAUAUCUUAAUGAAGAUUAAUUGUCACAUUGUUAUUAAUAGGAUGAUGGGACAGUCAAGGCCUAGAAGACCAGGUAUGUCAUAGAGAGAGAGAAUGAAAUAUUCUUGAGACAAAAACUCCCAUGGCCAGAAAGAAAUGGGAAUUCUUAUGGUUAGAAAAGGAAACAUGUAACUUAUAUUAUCCUUACUUUUCAUGUUACCAGAAUUAAUCUGGUUCUUCAAAAGUUUUAUAGCAUGAAACAAUCCAUUAGUCUUAAAAUAUCUGCCUACUACUGUAUUUAAACACAAAAUGUAUUAUUUCUAGUUUGUUCCAUAAUCAAUAGGAAUUCUUCUAAAAACUUAAAAAUCAAAAAUUA
rnacentral:lncRNA from 10 species